CACGCCGCGUAAUACGUAGGUGGCAAGCGUUAUCCGGAUUUAUUGGGCGUAAAGAGAGUGCAGGCGGUUUUCUAAGUCUGAUGUGAAAGCCUUCGGCUUAACCGGAGAAGUGCAUCGGAAACUGGAUAACUUGAGUGCAGAAGAGGGUAGUGGAACUCCAUGUGUAGCGGUGGAAUGCGUAGAUAUAUGGAAGAACACCAGUGGCGAAGGCGGCUACCUGGUCUGCAACUGACGCUGAGACUCGAAAGCAUGGGUAGCGAACAGGAUUAGAUACCCUGGUAG
rnacentral:rRNA from 1 species